AAAUGAUACAUAAGUUGACGAAAAAAGAAGGACAUGUUCUAGGAUGGCUUGCGUAAUAUAAACUGACUGGCGAAUACCGAGUCAUAUUUUACAUUUUUAAAAGACAAAAAAAAAAAACAAAUUGGUAUAGAAAGACUCCAAACGUGUAUAUGAAAGAAACCUUCAUAUAUCCAUGAGCUUUUACAUCUCUACAGCACUCUCUCUCGCUCUCCUCCACCAUCAGAGGUCUGCUCUCUCUCUUUCUUCU